CCUACGGGUGGCAGCAGUGGGGAAUAUUGCACAAUGGGCGCAAGCCUGAUGCAGCCAUGCCGCGUGUGUGAAGAAGGCCUUCGGGUUGUAAAGCACUUUCAGCGGGGAGGAAGGCGUUAAGGUUAAUAACCUUGUCGAUUGACGUUACCCGCAGAAGAAGCACCGGCUAACUCCGUGCCAGCAGCCGCGGUAAUACGGAGGGUGCAAGCGUUAAUCGGAAUUACUGGGCGUAAAGCGCACGCAGGCGGUCUGUCAAGUCGGAUGUGAAAUCCCCGGGCUCAACCUGGGAACUGCAUUCGAAACUGGCAGGCUAGAGUCUUGUAGAGGGGGGUAGAAUUCCAGGUGUAGCGGUGAAAUGCGUAGAGAUCUGGAGGAAUACCGGUGGCGAAGGCGGCCCCCUGGACAAAGACUGACGCUCAGGUGCGAACGCGUGGGGAGCAAACAGGAUUAGAUACCCUAGUAGUC
rnacentral:rRNA from 1 species